CGUUCCAUAGCUUAAUUGGCUAGAGCGUCGACAUGGUAUGUCGAAGACGCGGGUUCGAAUCCCGCUGGAGCGG